rnacentral:rRNA from 1 species
UGGGGAAUUUUGGACAAUGGGCGAAAGCCUGAUCCAGCAAUGCCGCGUGUGUGAAGAAGGCCUUCGGGUUGUAAAGCACUUUUGUCCGGAAAGAAAUCCUUGGCUCUAAUACAGUCGGGGGAUGACGGUACCGGAAGAAUAAGCACCGGCUGACUACGUGCCAGCAGCCGCGGUAAUACGUAGGGUGCAAGCGUUAAUCGGAAUUACUGGGCGUAAAGCGUGCGCAGGCGGUUUGCUAAGACCGAUGUGAAAUCCCCGGGCUCAACCUGGGAACUGCAUUGGUGACUGGCAGGCUAGAGUAUGGCAGAGGGGGGUAGAAUUCCACGUGUAGCAGUGAAAUGCGUAGAGAUGUGGAGGAAUACCGAUGGCGAAGGCAGCCCCCUGGGCCAAUACUGACGCUCAUGCACGAAAGCGUGGGGAGCAAACAGGAUUAGAUACCCUGGUAGUCCACGCCCUAAAACGAUGUCAACUAGUUGUUGGGGAUUCAUUUCCUUAGUAACGUAGCUAACGCGUGAAGUUGACCGCCUGGGGAGUACGGUCGCAAGAUUAAAACUCAAAUGAAUUGACGGGGUCAUAGCUGUUUCCU